rnacentral:rRNA from 1 species
UACGUGCCANCAGCCGCGGUAAUACGUAGGUCCCGAGCGUUGUCCGGAUUUAUUGGGCGUAAAGGGAGCGCAGGCGAUCAGGAAAGUNUGGAGUAAAAGGCUAUGGCUCAACCAUAGUGUGCUCUGGAAACUGUNUGACUUGAGUGCAGAAGGGGAGAGUGGAACUCCAUGUGUAGCGGUGAAAUGCGUAGAUAUAUGGAGGAACGCCAGUGGCGAAAGCGGCUCUCUGGUCUGUCACUGACGCUGAGGCUCGAAAGCGUGGGUAGCGAACAGGAUUAGAUACCCUGGUAGUCCACGCCGUAAACGAUGAGUGCUAGGUGUUAGGCCCUUUCCGGGGCUUAGUGCCGGAGCUAACGCAAUAAGCACUCCGCCUGGGGAGUACGACCGCAAGGUUGAAACUCAAAGGAAUUGACGGGGGCCCGCACAAGCGGUGGAGCAUGUGGUUUAAUUCGAAGCAACGCGAAGAACCUUACCAGGUCUUGACAUCCCGAUGCUAUUCUUAGAGAUAGGAAGUUACUUCGGUACAUCGGAGACAGGUGGUGCAUGGUUGUCGUCAGCUCGUGUCGUGAGAUGUUGGGUUAAGUCCCGCAACGAGCGCAACCCUUAUUGUUAGUUGCCAUCAUUAAGUUGGGCACUCUAGCGAGACUGCCGGUAAUAAACCGGAGGAAGGUGGGGAUGACGUCAAAUCAUCAUGCCCCUUAUGACCUGGGCUACACACGUGCUACAAUGGUCGGUACAACGAGUUGCGAGCCGGUGACGGCAAGCUAAUCUCUGAAAGCCGAUCUCAGUUCGGAUUGGAGGCUGCAACUCGCCUCCAUGAAGUCGGAAUCGCUAGUAAUCGCGGAUCAGCACGCCGCGGUGAAUACGUUCCCGGGCCUUGUACACACCGCCCGUCACACCACGAGAGUUUGUAACACCCGAAGUCGGUGAGGUAACCUUUUAGGGNCCA